rnacentral:rRNA from 1 species
CCUACGGGAGACAGCAGUGAGGAAUAUUGGUCAAUGGACGCAAGUCUGAACCAGCCAUGCCGCGUGCAGGAAGACGGCUCUAUGAGUUGUAAACUGCUUUUGUACGAGGGUAAAUCCCGAUACGUGUAUCGGGUCGAAAGUAUCGUACGAAUAAGGAUCGGCUAACUCCGUGCCAGCAGCCGCGGUAAUACGGAGGAUUCAAGCGUUAUCCGGAUUUAUUGGGUUUAAAGGGUGCGUAGGCGGUUCGAUAAGUUAGAGGUGAAAUCCCGGGGCUCAACUCCGGCACUGCCUCUGAUACUGUCGGGCUAGAGUUUAGUUGCGGUAGGCGGAAUGUAUGGUGUAGCGGUGAAAUGCAUAGAGAUCAUACAGAACACCGAUUGCGAAGGCAGCUUACCAAACUACGACUGACGUUGAGGCACGAAAGCGUGGGGAGCAAACAGGAUUAGAUACCCUGGUAGUC